rnacentral:rRNA from 1 species
UCGAGAAUCUUUCGCAAUGGGCGAAAGCCUGACGAAGCGACGCCGUGUGAACGAAGAAGGCCUUAGGGUUGUAAAGUUCUUUCGCUGGGGAACAAGAGAGACUGGCUAACAUCCAGUUAAUUUGAUGGUACUCGGUAAAGAAGCACCGGCUAACUCCGUGCCAGCAGCUGCGGUAAUACGGAGGGUGCAAGCAUUGAUCGGAAUUAUUGGGCGUAAAGGGCGCGUAGGCGGCUAGAUAAGUCAGAUGUGAAAUUCCGGGGCUCAACCCCGGGGCUGCAUUUGAAACUGUCCAGCUAGAGUAUAGUUAGGGAAAACGGAAUUCCACGUGUAGCGGUGAAAUGCGUAGAUAUGUGGAAGAACACCGGUGGUGAAGACGGUUUUCUAGGCUAAAACUGACGCUGAGGCGCGAAAGCUAGGGGAGCAAACA